rnacentral:tRNA from 1 species
GGGCCCGUAGCUUAGCCUGGCUGGAGCGUUCGACUGAUAAUCGAAAGGUCGGGAGUUCAAAUCUCCCCGGGCCCA